AUUUAUUACUGGCACGGAUGAACACGGGGAGAAAAUUGCAACUGCUGCCAUGGCUCAGGGUUCCACCCCUCCUGACCAUUGCAAUCUCAUAUCUUAGUUUUGGGUUCAUGGAUUGCUUUUCUCUUCUACACAAUUCCAAGCAUCUAUUCUUGGUUUGAACAAGUUUUGGGCUUUUGGUGGUAAUGUGGUGGCUAUGGAUAAGGACUCGUGUGGAGUGGGGUUCAUGGCGGAACUGUCCGGCAUGGAGUAAGACAAAACAAAAAGAACAAGAUGCACGGUAUCACGCACAUGGAUGCUGCCCUGGACGCAAUGCGUCCACUUGGAUUUAGGACACAACUGAUUCUACGAACGGUUAAUGAGCUUCUCGAUGGGCUUCUUCAGGUGUAUGGUGGAAAUCAAGGAUGGUGCUUUAUUGAAGAGGCCUAUUACAAGCUCCUAAUGGAGGCCCUACUUAGCAAACAACAAGGUUCUGCAGAAUAUAAGGUGGGAAUGGAACUUACCAAAUAGUUUGGUAAUCUUGGAACUGGGCGUGGCACAUCCGUGCUUGAAAUGGUUGCUGCCUUUGAAAAAGCUUCCGGCAAGAAAAUUCCAUUAAAAAUGUGUCCCAGAAGACCCGGGGAUGCUACUGCUGUAUAUGCAUCUACGGACAAGGCUGAGAAAGAACUUGGUUGGAAGGCAAAAUACGGUAUAGAGGAAAUGUGCAGGGAUUUGUGGAAUUGGACAAGCAAAAAUCCAUGGGGAUACCAAGGGAAGCAUUAAAUUAAAUUUGGUGCUCGAUCGGUUGUACUUGGAGGAGGUCUUCCUCCACCAUAUCAUAUCAUCUCCACUCCAGAUAUAAUAUGUUGAUGUUUCUUUUGUUGAUACAA